CUGAAGAUGGGAGAAAGCACCCCGGUUCCCUUGUAUCACACAGUAAUGUAUCCCUGUCAUUACAGCAGAAUUGUCAGAUAUCUACAAUAAAACAUUUCCAGCCAGGAGGAGAAACAAGUGUCUGAAGAGCAGAUAUGAACUGAACACAUUUGGUGGUCAGUAACUCUGUCAUUCCCUCAGAGAACUUCUGUGACUUGAGGAAUUUGACUUCCCUUCUUGGGUCCAAGCUGCUACUCACAGACUGUACGAGUGACUUCACAGAUGACUCCUGCAAUGAGAGUUUCCAGCAUUCCCGAUUUGCAGCUUUCUAUGGCUUGCCAUCUCAUGCAGCAAAUUUUCGUAGCUAUACAGGACAGAAGAGACAGUGUCAGCAAUGUUCCUUUUUUUUUUUUUUUCUCUUUUUAAUUAAAGAAGUUAAUGCAUUUGCUCCCCUAUUCUCAUGGGUUUCCCUAGUUCAAAAUAUUGCUGUCUCAUCCUUAUUUAUGAAACCAUUGAUUAAUGCAAAUAAAGGAUUAUAUAAUUGGGUUAUAUUGGCCUAUGUGAGAUCCCCAAAGUCAGCAAACACUGAAUUUAAAAGGAGGCUUAGGUUUCAAUGUUUUGUAAAUUGUGUUGCUGCAAAGUAUUUUAUUAUCAAAAUUCAAUUUGUCUAACUCAAGAAAAAAUAUCUUGGCAUUUCAUGACUUUGCAAUUUUAGACAGUUUAGAUCGCUAUUGAGUAUUUAAUACAUUUCAGCACUCUUCCACCACCAACCACUACAUAUAAAAAAUAGGGUUUGAAAUGGAUUAAGUAAGAAAGAACACCAAUCUGGAGGAAAUAUAUCAGGAGAGUCAAUAUUUAAUAAAUACAUGAACACAACUUUUAUGAGUUUGACACAUUUAAAAGGAAAGCAAGAUUCUCUUAAACAUACACACCAGGCCAAAUCCACUCUAGAAAAACUACCCACUUCUUAGACCGAUCACAUGUAGUUGUAUUUCCCAACAAGAGUGUUUAAAUGCACAAGUAAAGAUAGUCUGAUGCUCAGAAGCACUCUUCAAACUCACCAUUACCUUUUCUUAACACUUAGGAACUAUCAUCAAAGCUAAAGUAAUGUUAACUUUAUUUAAACAUGUACAUUGCUGCGUUAAUUCAAAUAUCAUGCUUAAAGUCGUAUAAAGUAUAGUACUGGUCUUCAUCUCUUCAGGCAGCUCAUGAGACAAGUUCCAGAUUUUACCUGUAUUGUCAAAAUUGUUACAUGGACUGGUUGUUUUUAGACAUUUUUCUCUGGUAAUACACUGGGGAUAAAAUCCUGAAAGCUUUUUUAGUACCUGGAAGAACAGCCAAGAUAAGUGGGUGUGGGCUAGAAAGUAUUAAAUUCAUAAACUUAAUCU
rnacentral:lncRNA from 1 species